AUGGAAGAGGAUGGGAAGGAAUGGAAUGUAAAUUUGAUUCGCCAAAUAUUCCACCAGUUUGAUGUUGAAGAAAUAUGCAAGAUACCCAUCGCAAGGACGGAUACAAGAGAUUGCAUAGCUUGGCAUUGUGAAAAGAAUGGAGUGUUUUCAGUCAGAAGUGCGUACAAAUUGCAAGCAACCUUAUCCCAAAAUGAAAACUCAAACCCUUCAAGCUUGACUAGGGAUGCGGGUGACCGGAGUAUUUGGGAUCUCAUUUGGAAAGCCAAGGUGCCCGAAAAAGUUAGAAUUUUUUGGUGGAAAGUAGCCACAAAUACACUGGCCACAAAAAGUAACAAAUUCAAGAGGACACUCGAGGUGGACUCGACGUGUAAUAUCUGCGGCAACGGGGUGGAGGAUGAACAUCAUGCAGUGAUCACAUGCUCAAAGAGCAGGGCCCUCCGAGAGGCCAUGAGGAAGGAGUGGACAUUACCAUCGGAGAAAUCUUUCAGAAAUACAGGAACUGACUGGCUGCAGGUCCUGCUAGACAGAGAACCUGAGGAAAUGCGAUCAAAAAUCUUACUCCUGCUGUCGAGGUGCUGGCACCUGAGAGAGGACAUACUACGACACGACGACAAAGAAUCUAUCUUGGGCUCUGUACAAUUCCUAAAGAAAUACGCCGAGGAGUUAGUUACAGCGGCAAUGGCUGAUAAUGUGCCUAGGGUUGGAGAUGUGGAUAAAACAUGCUGCCUACGGGGACAAAGCAUGAAGUGGGCGGGACCGGUACAAGACACGGUUAAGCUGAAUACUGACGCAGCAUUCCAAGCCGAUUCACGCGAAUCCACUGCUGGAGCAGUCGCCAGGGACAACAAAGGCCAUGUGGUUGUCUCACUCCGCAGAAGCCUGUCAGCUAGCCGAUGCGUCGAGGAGGCCGAAGCGAAAGCUGCACUUACUGGGCUGCUUACUCUAGCAAAGUAUUACAGAGGCCCUCUGAUACUGGAGAUGGACUGA
rnacentral:rRNA from 1 species